UACGGAGGAUGCAAGCGUUAUCCGGAUUUAUUGGGUUUAAAGGGUGCGCAGGUUGUUUGAUAAGUCAGUGGUGAAAGUCUGUCGCUUAACGGUAGGAUUGCCAUUGAUACUGUUAGACUUGAAUAUGGAUGAGGUAGGCGGAAUGUGUAGUGUAGCGGUGAAAUGCAUAGAUAUUACACAGAACACCGAUUGCGAAGGCAGCUUACUAAUCCAUAAUUGACGCUGAGGCACGAAAGCGUGGGGAUCAAACAGGA
rnacentral:rRNA from 1 species